CUUGCAUAAAUAAAAGGGGUUUUGAUCCCAAAAGACGUCGGAUGCUGAUAUUAACAGGCUGAUGCCUGCUUGCUUGUCAUGCUGGCUCACAUCUUCUUUGUCAGGGUGAGUCUACACAUUAACAACACGUCCUCUAUUAGGUACCACAAUGUUGGACGAGUAUCUUAAAACUGCUGAUGUUACCUUGAGUGCUCGCCUUAUGAUGUUUGUUCUGCAUUGCAGCUGGCAACCGAGACCCGGGACAUUUAUAUGAACAGCUGGUAGCAUAAGAGGUCUUCCAGAUGAUGGCAGCACAAGUCUCUAUUUUUAUACCUUAUUUAUUUACUCAACGUAUACAGGAAGCAGUUGUUUGCUCGUUAGCCUUUAACAUAUUAUCAAGUGACUUGCAGGACUGUUGAUUUAGUAAAGCUCCU
ensembl:lncRNA